UAGGGAAUCUUCCGCAAUGGACGCAAGUCUGACGGAGCAACGCCGCGUGAGUGAAGAAGGUUUUCGGAUCGUAAAACUCUGUUGUUAGAGAAGAACAAGUGCUAGAGUAACUGUUAGCGCCUUGACGGUAUCUAACCAGAAAGCCACGGCUAACUACGUGCCAGCAGCCGCGGUAAUACGUAGGUGGCAAGCGUUGUCCGGAUUUAUUGGGCGUAAAGCGAGCGCAGGCGGUUCCUUAAGUCUGAUGUGAAAGCCCCCGGCUCAACCGGUGAGGGUCAUUGGAAACUGGGGAACUUGAGUGCAGAAGAGGAGAGUGGAAUUCCAUGUGUAGCGGUGAAAUGCGUAGAUAUAUGGAGGAACACCAGUGGCGAAGGCGACUCUCUGGUCUGUAACUGACGCUGAGGCUCGAAAGCGUGGGUAGCAAACAGGAUUAGAUACCCUGGUAGUCCACGCCGUAACGAUGAGUGCUAAGUGUUGGAGGGUUUCCGCCCUUCAGUGCUGCAGUUAACGCAUUAAGCACUCCGCCUGGGGAGUACGACCGCAAGGUU
rnacentral:rRNA from 1 species